rnacentral:rRNA from 1 species
AACGAACGCUGGCGGCAGGCUUAACACAUGCAAGUCGAACGCCCCGCAAGGGGAGUGGCAGACGGGUGAGUAACGCGUGGGAACGUACCUUUCAGUUCGGAAUAACUCAGGGAAACUUGUGCUAAUACCGGAUACGUCCGUAAGGAGAAAGAUUUAUCGCUGAAAGAUCGGCCCGCGUUGGAUUAGCUAGUUGGUGGGGUAAUGGCCUACCAAGGCGACGAUCCAUAGCUGGUUUGUGAGGAUGAUCAGCCACACUGGGGCUGAGACACGGCCCAGACUCCUCCAUAGGGCAGCAGUGGGGAGUUUUAGGCAAUGGGGGAAACCCUGAUCUAGCCAUGCCGCGUGCUCGUUGGAGGCCUUAAGGUUGUAAAGAUCUUUCAGAUGGGAAGAUAAUGACGGUACCAUCGGAAGAAGCCCCGGCCAACUCCGUGCCAGCAGCCGCCGUAA